rnacentral:rRNA from 1 species
AACGAACGCUGGCGGCAGGCUUAACACAUGCAAGUCGAGCGCCCCGCAAGGGGAGCGGCAGACGGGUGAGUAACGCGUGGGAAUCUACCCAUCUCUACGGAACAACUCCGGGAAACUGGAGCUAAUACCGUAUACGUCCUUCGGGAGAAAGAUUUAUCGGAGAUGGAUGAGCCCGCGUUGGAUUAGCUAGUUGGUGGGGUAAUGGCCUACCAAGGCGACGAUCCAUAGCUGGUCUGAGAGGAUGAUCAGCCACACUGGGACUGAGACACGGCCCAGACUCCUACGGGAGGCAGCAGUGGGGAAUAUUGGACAAUGGGCGAAAGCCUGAUCCAGCCAUGCCGCGUGAGUGAUGAAGGCCCUAGGGUUGUAAAGCUCCUUCAACGGUGAAGAUAAUGACGGUAACCGUAGAAGAAGCCCCGGCUAACUUCGUGCCAGCCGCCGCGGUAAGAC